UAAAAAUAAUGGAAACGAUGUAGGGAAAC
rnacentral:piRNA from 1 species